GACGAACGCUGGCGGCGUGCCUAACACAUGCAAGUCGAACGGAGUAAGAAAGCUUGCUUUCUUACUUAGUGGCGGACGGGUGAGUAACGCGUGAGUAACCUGCCUUUCAGAGGGGGAUAACGUCUGGAAACGGACGCUAAUACCGCAUGAUAUUCCGGGAUCACAUGGUUCUGGAAUCAAAGGAGCAAUCCGCUGAGAGAUGGACUCGCGUCCGAUUAGCCAGUUGGCGGGGUAAAGGCCCACCAAAGCAACGAUCGGUAGCCGGGCUGAGAGGCUGAACGGCCACAUUGGGACUGAGACACGGCCCAGACUCCUACGGGAGGCAGCAGUGGGGGAUAUUGCACAAUGGAGGAAACUCUGAUGCAGCAACGCCGCGUGAGGGAAGAAGGUCUUCGGAUUGUAAACCUUUGUCCUCAGGGAAGAUAAUGACGGUACCUGAGGAGGAAGCUCCGGCUAACUACGUG
rnacentral:rRNA from 1 species